UACGUAGGGAGCAAGCGUUGUCCGGAAUCAUUGGGCGUAAAGCGCGCGUAGGCGGCUUCUUAAGUCAGGGGUGAAAUCCUGGAGCUCAACUCCAGAACUGCCUUUGAUACUGAAGAUCUUGAGUUCGGGAGAGGUGAGUGGAACUGCGAGUGUAGAGGUGAAAUUCGUAGAUAUUCGCAAGAACACCAGUGGCGAAGGCGGCUCACUGGCCCGAUACUGACGCUGAGGCACGAAAGCGUGGGGAGCAAACAGG
rnacentral:rRNA from 1 species